GGGGGAUAUUGCACAAUGGGCGAAAGCCUGAUGCAGCAACGCCGCGUGAGGGAAGACGGUUUUCGGAUUGUAAACCUCUGUCUUCGGUGAAGAAACAAAUGACGGUAGCCGAGGAGGAAGCCACGGCUAACUACGUGCCAGCAGCCGCGGUAAUACGUAGGUGGCAAGCGUUGUCCGGAAUUACUGGGUGUAAAGGGAGCGCAGGCGGGGAGACAAGUCAGCUGUGAAAACUAUGGGCUUAACCCAUAAACUGCAGUUGAAACUGUUUUUCUUGAGUGGAGUAGAGGUAGGCGGAAUUCCGAGUGUAGCGGUGAAAUGCGUAGAUAUUCGGAGGAACACCAGUGGCGAAGGCGGCCUACUGGGCUCUAACUGACGCUGAGGCUCGAAAGUGUGGGGAGCAAAC
rnacentral:rRNA from 1 species